CUGAACAUAGGUAAGACAAAAAAGGUUAAUCUGAAGUAAUCGUGCUUUACAUCUAUGUUAAGGAUAUUGAAAGUGCUUUUCAAACCAGCCCAAGACGUGGGGCCGUGAAAUGGAGAAUGGAGCGCGCGCUGUGUUUUAAAGAGCACAGCAAUGCUGCACAAGCUGGAAGCAACUUCCAGAUUGUUUCCAUGGGGACUCGGCAGCAGUCUUUGCUGAAGCUGACAGAUGUUGGACCAACCCAGCCAAAGAUGUCGGGAAGAGAAAGGGAUGCAGUGCUCUUGCUCAGCUGGAGAUGGCACCAGGACCAGCACUUUUCAUGAGGUCCCCCUGAAGUGUCUGAACCAGAACGUCUAACCAAGGCUCAGGAACUGGGAAUGCAUCCUGGUGGGUUAGCUUGACAGUAUCUCCAUGCUUCAAGACUCUCAGCCCUACUCUUACACAAAGUGACAUGACCUCCUUUUCCCAUAUCAUCCAAGACAACACAGAGCAACAGAAUUCCUGGGCAUCAGCUUAGUUUUGACUCGGAGGCUCAGCGUAGCUGGAGAUGGCCAAGACUUAUUAGACAGUCUAAUUUUCAAGGACAUAAACAAGUCUCCAUGCCUCGAUACCGGAGGUGUCAGAUUUAACGUCUUGUUCUUGGUGAAAAACAUCUUAUGGGCAAAGGGAAACAAGAUAAGCUUCAUAUCAAAGGGCACGCGUAUGUGAACGAGCAUGGCUCCUUCACACAUCAAGCCAAUGAUCUCUCUACUUUGAACCAUGGUGGAAUCAGGCUAACACAAAGAGAAAACAGGUGGUAAAGGGCUGGCCACAUCCGUUGGCCGCUUAGAACCAGAUCCAGGCCCUGAUAUAAACUGUUCUUGGACGGCGCUUUGAAAGGAUGGCUGUUCAGGCUGCAUUUCACUGCUGUGGAAAUAUGGCUACCAACAACUCAGAUUUCCACAACCACGUGCGUUGCCAGACGGAGAAGAGCAGCAGGGGAAAGGAGCCACGCUGUGCAUUCUCCUUCCGCCGCCAUGUGCAAAUUGUGCCAGGAUCGGAGCAUUUCCCGGCGGGAAGGGUUUAUCCAGUCACGUCACCUGAGGACUUAAGAGGCAGAAGAAGCCACGCGGAAACAGGAGUCAGGCUUCCCGGGGGGAGGCCUUACAGAGUGCGAACCUGCCUGUGCCACGGGAAGCGAGCCUCAAAAAGACGCACGUGGCCUGUGGCGGGAGAGGCAGGUGACUUAACUCUUCUGGCCAACGUGGUGGGGCCUGUGAGCUGCUCUGUGCUGCCCGCAGACCCCCCUGCCACCCGCUUCGGUCCAUUUUACAAUUGUCUGCCGUGGAGAUAGGGCCAGAGCAGGCUGAGCCACGGAUUUCCACCACCCCCGUGAAGCCACAAGCAAUUAAUUGUCCAUCUCGCUCGUGCCGGAGCCUUUUCACUUCCUCUCCUAUCAGACUCUGCACGUCUCUUCAUUUUAAGUGCCAGGGGAUAGCGCCCAGCUGUCGCCUCACCGCAGAGCUUCCUGAUGCAGAAGCAGCUGCUAAAAAGCCUUAUCCCACAAAGGAGGAGAGAUCAGUUAGAAAUGAUAGAGGGAAGCUUGCCUUUGGAGUUUAUUGUUGGGCCCCACCACUGCCAGGGGGAGAUAACACUGUUUUUUUCCAGUGUUUUAAAUGAUUUCACUGGCACCACCUGUGAAAACAAUCCUGCAUGCUUAUCUGCAGUUCAGAGAUUUGGGUCUCUGGCCUGGCUCGGGGGAUGCUUAAUGGGACAGAGGCCUUUCUCGGUCACCUGUUCUGGAGCCUUUCCCUGUGUCGUUCAAGCAUUGCCUUUGCAAGGGCACUGCCAAUAUUUUAGGAAUAUCCCACAUCCUUUUGCUCCCUCUGGGUUAUAGGGAGGGUGAUUUAUUUCUGAAAUUCCUAAAAGAGGAGGAGUCAUAAAAAUGUCUUGCAGUUCCAGGCCAAGGAGCAUGUUAUAAUCUAUUUUGCAACGGACAGCACAGCAGACCACAGAAACAUCUGAAGGAGAGAAGUGGAAAAUAUAUUUACCGGGUCUGGAAAGUGAAUUGGCAUUCAGGGAAUGGAUACUUCUGCAGUACUUGUGCCAGGUCCUGUAGCUACCUACUUUCCUACAGCAAAAUCAUAAUAAUUUAUUAACAUCCACUAGUAAUGCCAUCAAUAAGAUACCAGGAAACUGCUGGCAUUGCAAUGUACAUAGCAAUUAAAAUAAAAGCCAGAAAGCUUUCA
ensembl:lncRNA